UACAGAGGUCCCGAGCGUUGUUCGGAUUCACUGGGCGUAAAGGGUGCGUAGGCGGUUCUGAAAGUCUGAUGUGAAAUCUCCGGGCCCAACCCGGAAAUGGCAUUAGAAACUGCAGGGCUAGAGGCUUGGAGGGGGAACUGGAAUGCUCGGUGUAGCAGUGAAAUGCGUAGAGAUCGAGCGGAACACCAGUGGCGAAGGCGAGUUCCUGGACAAGACCUGACGCUGAGGCACGAAAGCGUGGGGAGCAAACAGG
rnacentral:rRNA from 1 species